GCGGAUGUAGCGCAGCUGGUAGCGCAUCACCUUGCCAAGGUGAGGGUCGCGGGUU
rnacentral:tRNA from 1 species